ANUCUAUUCAGAGGAACCUGUCCUGUAAUUGAUAAUCCACGAUGAACCUUACUUAAGUUUGUUUUUCAGUUUAUAUACCGUCGUUAUCAGAAUAUUUUAUUAGAAUAAUAAUUUUCUAUAAUUUUAAUAGGAGUAUAUAUCAGAUCAAGGUGUAGCUUAUAUUUAAGUAGAGAUGGGUUACAAUAAACAUAUUUAAACGGAUCUAAUUUUGAAAUAUUUUUAGUGAAGGUGGAUUUGAUAGUAAAAUUUUAAAGAUUGUGAAUUUGAUUUUAGCUCUAGAAUAUGCACACAUCGCCCGUCGCUCUUACUAUUAAGGUAAGAUAAGUCGUAACAUAGUAGAUGUACCGGAAGGUGUAUCUAGAAUGA
rnacentral:rRNA from 1 species